rnacentral:lncRNA from 1 species
UACACAUUGGAAAUCUAACUUUGUGGCCUAUCCUUUGAGGGGUCUACAACUUGAAAAUUUAGGGUAUUAUAAUAUCUCUCCCUUGGUAUCAUUCAUCCUCAAAUAAAACUAUCUAAGUCAGAAUGAUAGAAAGACUGAGAUCAAGCACUGAAUACUUCUGAACUGAAUUAUGACUGAAUAUCUGAAUCUGAGACAUAAUGCAUGAACUGAACUAAAUUCAUG